rnacentral:lncRNA from 10 species
CCCGCCCCCAGUAGAAGGGCUGCCCUAUGGCUGCUGCCUCCCACAACCAAAUCAUUUUUCUGGGAACCUGGGGAUCAUCUUGGCUCUGCCUAUCACAGCCAGUGCCUGCACGCCCUGCUCCGGCAUCCCCCUAGUGCCUGAGCACGCCAUCCUCCUGUACCCUACUCCAUUACGAUGUGAUUCCUUCGUGUUAAAACUGUGUACCUUGCCCUACUAACUUUGGAUCUGGCCAAUGGAAUAUAAGGAGAUUUGACCUGUGCUGCUGUGAUUAACAGACAUCAGAGGCAUGGAAGAAAAACAACAGUAACUAGAUGAAGCAAGGACCACCCUUCUGGACAACAAAGGGAGAGGAAUGAAAGUCUGACCUAGGAAAAGGCAACCUGUCUAUGAGA